UGAGUAAAGUCUGGGAAUCUGGCCAAAGGCGGGGGAUAACCACUGGAAACGGUGGCUAAUACCGCAUAAUCUCUAAGGAGCAAAGUGGGGGACCGUUCUGGCCUCACACCUUCGGAUGAACCCAUAUGAGAUUAGCUAGUAGGUGGGGUAAGGGCUCACCUAAGCGACGAUCUCUAGCUGGUCUGAGAGGAUGAUCAGCCACACUGGGACUGAGACACGGCCCAGACUCCUACGGGAGGCAGCAGUGGGGAAUAUUGCACAAUGGGCGCAAGCCUGAUGCAGCCAUGCCGCGUGUAUGAAGAAGGCCUUCGGGUUGUAAAGUACUUUCAGUCGUGAGGAAGGUGUUAGGGUUAAUAACCUUAGCAAUUGACGUUAGCGACAGAAGAAGCACCGGCUAACUCCGUGCCAGCAGCCGCGGUAAUACGGAGGGUGCGAGCGUUAAUCGGAAUUACUGGGCGUAAAGGGCACGCAGGCGGUUAAUUAAGUUGAAUGUGAAAUCCCCGGGCUUAACCUGGGAAUGGCAUUCAAGACUGGUUAGCUAGAGUCUUGUAGAGGGGGGUAGAAUUCCAUAUGUAGCGGUGAAAUGCGUAGAGAUGUGGAGGAAUACCGGUGGCGAAGGCGGCUCCCUGAACAAAGACUGACGCUCAUGUGCGAAAGCGUGGGGAGCAAACAGGAUUAGAUCCCCUGGUAGUCCACGCUGUAAACGAUGUCGAUUUGGAGGUUGCGGUCUUGAACU
rnacentral:rRNA from 1 species